rnacentral:rRNA from 1 species
GACGAACGCUGGCGGCGUGCUUAACACAUGCAAGUCGUACGGUAAGGCCCUUUCGGGGGUACACGAGUGGCGAACGGGUGAGUAACACGUGAGUAACCUGCCCACAACUUUGGGAUAACGCUAGGAAACUGGUGCUAAUACUGGAUAUGUGCUCCUGCUGCAUGGUGGGGGUUGGAAAGCUCCGGCGGUUGUGGAUGGACUCGCGGCCUAUCAGCUUGUUGGUGGGGUAGUGGCCUACCAAGGCGGCGACGGGUAGCCGGCCUGAGAGGGUGACCGGCCACAUUGGGACUGAGAUACGGCCCAGACUCCUACGGGAGGCAGCAGUGGGGAAUAUUGCACAAUGGGCGCAAGCCUGAUGCAGCAACGCCGCGUGCGGGAUGACGGCCUUCGGGUUGUAAACCGCUUUCAGCAGGGACGAAGCUUUUUGUCACGGUACCUGCAGAAGAAGCACCGGCUAACUACGUG